rnacentral:rRNA from 1 species
UACAGAGGGCGCGAGCGUUGUCCGGAAUCACUGGGCGUAAAGGGCGCGUAGGCGGCCCUGGUAAGUCUGCGGUGAAAGCCCGGGGCUCAACCCCGGGUCGGCCGCGGGUACUGCCGGGCUGGAGUGCCGUAGGGGCAGGCGGAAUUCCGGGUGUAGCGGUGGAAUGCGUAGAGAUCCGGAAGAACACCGGUGGCGAAGGCGGCCUGCUGGGCGGCGACUGACGCUGAGGCGCGACAGCGUGGGGAGCAAACAGG